rnacentral:rRNA from 1 species
GAUCGGCUUACACUCCCAACCCAAUGUGAACGUUACCAAACUGUUGCCUCGGCGGGAUCUCUGCCCCGGGUGCGUCGCAGCCCCGGACCAAGGCGCCCGCCGGAGGACCAACCUAAAACUCUUUUUGUAUACCCCCUCGCGGGUUUUUUAUAAUCUGAGCCUUCUCGGCGCCUCUCGUAGGCGUUUCGAAAAUGAAUCAAAACUUUCAACAACGGAUCUCUUGGUUCUGGCAUCGAUGAAGAACGCAGCGAAAUGCGAUAAGUAAUGUGAAUUGCAGAAUUCAGUGAAUCAUCGAAUCUUUGAACGCACAUUGCGCCCGCCAGUAUUCUGGCGGGCAUGCCUGUCCGAGCGUCAUUUCAACCCUCGAACCCCUCCGGGGGGUCGGCGUUGGGGAUCGGCCCUCCCUUAGCGGGUGGCCGUCUCCGAAAUACAGUGGCGGUCUCGCCGCAGCCUCUCCUGCGCAGUAGUUUGCACACUCGCAUCGGGAGCGCGGCGCGUCCACAGCCGUUAAACACCCAACUUCUGAAAUGUUGACCUCGGAUCAGGUAGGAAUACCCGCUGAACUUAAGCAUAUCAAUAAGCGGGGGGAA